rnacentral:tRNA from 1 species
UUCCUGGUAGCUCAGUUGGCAAAGAAUCUGCCUGUAAUGCAAGAGAUCCAGGUUCAAUUCCUGGGUUGGAAA